rnacentral:tRNA from 1 species
GUCGCUGUGGGCUAAUUGGUAAGCCACAAUGGAAUGUAGGUUCGAGUCCUACCAGCGAUA